rnacentral:misc_RNA from 1 species
GAAAUGCGAUAAGUAGUGUGAAUUGCAGAAUUUAGCGAAUCAUCGAAUCUUUGAACGCACAUUGUGCCCCUUGGUAUUCCAUGGGGCAUGCCUGUUCGAGCGUCAUUUCAACCCUCAAGCACUGCUUGGUGUUGGGCGUUUGUCCCGCCUACGCGCGUGGACUCGCCUCAAAGUCAUUGGCGGCUGUUCCCCUUCGGCUCGUAAGCGCAGCACAGUCGGCGCCCGGAGCUCUGGUGGGAUGGCGUCCAGCAAGCUAUAUUUUCAGGCUUGACCUCGGAUCAGGUAGGGAUACCCGCUGAACUUAAGC